GUGGAUUAUGUGGAUUAAUUCGAUGCAACGCGAAAAACCUUACCUGGCCUUGACAUGUACGGAACUUUCCAGAGAUGGAUUGGUGCCCGAAAGGGAGCCGUAACACAGGUGCUGCAUGGCUGUCGUCAGCUCGUGCCGUGAGGUGUCCGGUUAAGUCCGGUAACGAGCGCAACCCCUAUGUUUAGUUGCCAGCACGUAAGGUGGGAACUCUAAAGAGACUGCCGGCGACAAGCCGGAGGAAGCUCGGGGACGACGUCAAGUCAUCAUGGCCCUUAUGCCUUGGGCUACACACAUGCUACAAUGGCGGAUACAAUGGGUUGCCAAACUGUGAAGUGGAGCCAAUCCCAUCAAAGUCCGUCUCAGUUCGAAUUGCAGGCUGCAACUCGCCUGCAUGAAGUUGGAAUCGCUAGUAAUCGUGGAUCAGCACUGCCACGGUGAAUACGUUCCCGGGCCUUGCACACACCGCCCGUCACACCACGAAAGUCGGUUCUACCCGAAGUGGUUGAGCUAACCCGCAAGGGGGGCAGACUCCUAAGGUAGGGCUGGUGAUUGGGGUGAAGUCGUAACAAGGUAACCGUA
rnacentral:rRNA from 1 species